rnacentral:rRNA from 1 species
GGAGGAAUAUUGGUCAAUGGGCGAGAGCCUGAACCAGCCAAGUCGCGUGAAGGAAGAAGGUUCUAUGGAUUGUAAACUUCUUUUGCAGGGGAAUAAAGGACGGUACGUGUACUGUUUUGUAUGUACCUUGCGAAUAAGGAUCGGCUAACUCCGUGCCAGCAGCCGCGGUAAUACGGAGGAUCCGAGCGUUAUCCGGAUUUAUUGGGUUUAAAGGGUGCGUAGGUGGAUUGUUAAGUCAGUGGUGAAAGUUUUCAGCUCAACUGAAAAAUUGCCGUUGAAACUGUCGAUCUUGAGUGCAAAUGAGGUAGGCGGAAUGUGUUGUGUAGCGGUGAAAUGCUUAGAUAUAACACAGAACUCCGAUUGCGAAGGCAGCUUACUGGGAUGCAACUGACACUGAUGC